GAUGAAGAACGCAGUGAAAUGCGAUACGUAAUGUGAAUUGCAGAAUUCAGUGAAUCAUCGAAUCUUUGAACGCACAUUGCGCCCGCCAGCACCCUGGCGGGCAUGCCUGUUCGAGCGUCAUUUCAACCAUCAAGCCCCAGGCUUGCGUUGGAGCCCUGCGGCUGCCGCAGCCUCCUAAAAGCAGUGGCGGGCUCGCUAUCACACCGAGUGCAGUAGAUUACUCUUCGCUCAGGGCGUGCAGCGGGUUCCGGCCGUGAAACCCCCUACUUUUAAAGGUUGACCUCGGAUCAGGUAGGAAUACCCGCUGAACUUAAGCAUAUCAAUAAGCGGAGGA
rnacentral:misc_RNA from 1 species